GAUUGGUGGCUCAGUGGCAGAAUUCUUACCUUUCAUGCAGGAGACCUGGGUUCAAUUCCUGGCCAAUGCA
rnacentral:tRNA from 1 species